GACGUAGGAUGCAAGCGUUGUCCGGAUUUAUUGGGCGUAAAGGGCGCGUAGGCGGCCAUGCGUGUCUCCCGUGAAAUCCCUCGGCUUAACUGAGGACGUGCGGGAGAAACUGCAAGGCUCGAGUCCGGGAGAGGGGGGUGGAAUUCCCAGUGUAGCGGUGAAAUGCGUAGAGAUCGGGAGGAAGGCCGGUGGCGAAGGCGG
rnacentral:rRNA from 1 species